AAGUGCGAAACUAGCCACGAGAUGAGAAUUCCAUAUAGGACCGUAGCAGACUACUACGUUGAUAGGUUACAGAUGUAAAGGUGGUGACAUCAAAGUCGAGUAAUACUAAUCAUCCGAAGCUUUCAAAAG
rfam:Pedobacter africanus strain DSM 12126 genome assembly, contig: Ga0070588_105